rnacentral:lncRNA from 12 species
CAGCCUACACAAAGGGAACCCUCGUGAUCACCAGGGAGCCAAAGACGCUCUUAGUUUACCAAAGGUAGCUCAGCCCUAGAAACCCAUAAAGAAAAACCACAUAAAAGAAGUACUUUCCUGCACCAGGACCUGGAUAAGGAUCUGGAAUUCAGCAGGGACGGAUGAUCUAAAUAAAAAAGCAAGCAAUGGGGCAUUGAGUAUCUGGAAUGUUGAUGGGGAUGCUGCUGGGAUUCAAGGGAAGAAAUCAGUCUGAGAAUUUGAAUUCAGUUCUCCCUCUGAACUGUGUCAUUGAACUUGCAAAGAUGGAUCUCAGUGUUGGGGGCCGGGGAAGGAGGAGACAGAGAGAAAAUCAGGAGUGAGGUGGGAUCUUUCCCAUGUGGAAGCAGUGGUCGUCAGUGAGGAUGAAGCACCCUCCACUCCUAUGGGAAUGAAAGAGUUAACAAAUAAAUGAUACUAAUGACAAAGUUACA